AGCUUUGCGCAGUGGCAGUAUCGUAGCCAAUGAGGUUUAUCCGAGGCGCGAUUAUUGCUAAUUGAAAACUUUUCCCAAUAUUUAUCAUAUUCUAUUAGUAAUACAAAAAAAUAAAAAUAAGUAGUUACUGGAUCAAUUAGUU
ensembl:snRNA U4 U4 spliceosomal RNA